rnacentral:tRNA from 1 species
GCGAGAGUGGCGGAACUGGCAGACGCGCUGGAUUUAGGAUCCAGUACCGCUUAAGGUGUGGGGGUUCGACUCCCCCCUCUCGCA